AAUUCCAGGCACAGAGAAUUUAGCUAAUACCGAUAAUAAACACGAAGUGUAAAACUGUCUGAAUUGUUUAUGAGAUUAUAUUGAACAUUACACAAGGCAACAAAACCUCUGCCAUCAAGAUCCUUCAAUACAAAGGCUAUCAGGGAAACAUUCAAAUACUCUGUUAUCAUCUUUGCCAUCAGAGGAGCAUGAUCCAGCAGUUUAAAUUCUGGCUUGGGGUUUACAAGAUGUGGCUGUAACACCCUGCUCUGCCAGUGCAUUUCCAUAUCACUUUGAGCAAGUCAUUGAAGGUCACCUCCAAUCAAGGAUCUGGGGGUGAGAAAUCAAGACGGCUUCUAGUCAUGCACCACAAAGCUUAAAAAGUACCUGAUUUCAGUGAAAUGAAAAAAAGAAAUGGAACUAAAAACAGUAGGCAAGGGAAAGAGAUGUCUCAGAAACAUGAACCACAAGAAAACUUACUCUGAGCAUGAAGAUGCCUAGAGAAAGCUAAUGGUAAAUGCUGUGUCCCAGGAGUGAUCAAAACUCUGACGUCUUUUGGGAAGGCAGGCACACAGCCCACAGCUGCACCUCAUGCCUCCCUGCCAACUCAAAAGUCAGAGUCCAGAGUCCUCUUCUGAAUGCAAAAGUUCAAAUAAUAGCCCAGAGCUCACACUCCCCAAAAUACAACAGGCAGGUAUUGCCUUAUUACUCUCCCUUUAUCCUUGCCCUUGCCAGACCACAACCAAGAAGCAGUGCUGGACUAUUCUUAGCUGGAGAAAGUACUAACCCUCAUCUCCCAUGACCAGCAAGGCUGGUACAGGUUGAUGCAUGUGGCAAGUCAGACGCCCAGUGCAGUUAGCUUACUCCUGAAAGAGCCAUCAAUUCUGUGUGCAGGCACUUCACCAUAUAAUAAUGGCUAUCGAAAUAAAGCAGUGGAGAAGCAA